CCACAUCAUGUUGAAACACUGUUCCUUGUAUGAUCACCAAAGUUAAACAACAUUGAGCCCAGUCAGUACCUAGAUGGGUGACCACUUACGAAUACCAGGUGUUGUAAG